rnacentral:rRNA from 1 species
CGGACGGAACACGUACACAACCUUACCGAUAAGUGGGGAAGUAGCCAGAGAAAUUUGGAUUAAUACCCGUAACAUAUAGAGUAGGCAUCUUCUUUAUAUUAUAGCUUCGGCGCUUAUUGAUGGGUGUGCGUCUGAUUAGGUAGUUGGCGGGGUAACGGCCCACCAAGCCUACGAUCAGUAGCUGAUGUGAGAGCAUGAUCAGCCACACGGGCACUGAGACACGGGCCCG